CACUAGAACUCCAGAAGGUUCAGGUUUUUUCGCUCUGUCUCUUCUCCUUAUCAACUUGACAGUGGUGCAGAUAUUUAGCAACUGGAGGGUUUGAUUAGAUACGCGGCAAGGAUUGAUUUCUGUGGCAAAGGGAUUGAUUUCCGUCUCAAAUCAAUAUUGAGCUUCCUCGAAGAGAGACAAAGCUCGAGCUUUCUGGAGAUGACGAUCUUCUUCAUUUUAAGAGAAUUAAGAUUGGGUAUCUGCACCUUAGGAUUCUUAGCAACAUCGGCUUCUCAAAUUUGUUAGAUCAUGCCGAAGAGAUUUGUAUAAUCUCAAGUCUAGGUACCCCAUGAUCUUCAUAGCUCUUACUUUAGAUGGAAUAGUUCAGAUUGAAUAGAAAUAGUAUUUGAAGGAAUGACCUAAGAAUUACAACCUUGCACUCAUCUUUUGCCAAUUUACAUGUUGGCAUUCAUUGUGAUAUAUAAAUAAAUUAGUUGAUUCUUUUCAUCUUCGGGGAGCCGCUAUCACCAUCUAGAUUCACUGUUAGUCAAAGUCAACCUCAACGAUCAAAAUCAAGAACAGUAAAAGCUUGGUAAGAUUUCAACUAAGCAAAAUCAAGAUGAAUAUCAUAGUUGUUCAUCUUUUGUUCAUAUACCCAAAGUGAUUACCUUUAAUUCACUUUUCGUUUUCAUGUUUUCAGUUGUAGUAACUGAUUUAUCAGCUUUUAUAAUCUUUCAAGACAAAACCUUUUAUUGUUUCUUUGUUUUGUUAAUCGAAGUUCAUAGUUCAUAUAUGAAAUUUCGUUUUUUUUGUGUAGCCUCUGUUCUAGAUUUUGAAUAAUUGCAAGAACAACAGGUUUUUUUAACGCUGUUAGACAGAAAGAGUAAAGUAAAACAAAUGAAAGAGAUCUGGUUCUUAAUCUGAUUUUGGGCAGCCAAUCAUAGAAUCAAUCAUACGGUUAUUUCACUAAUGUUGAAAGAUUUUAGUUUUCGUUAUCCUGUAUGGAAUGAAUACAGGGGAAAAUACCUUCGUCAUUGCAUAUUUUAUCUUUCUCAGGAUUCAAAAGAGAAACGUUUUUUGGUCGAGCUUUUGUGUAAAAGUAGUUAAAUUCACAGAAAAUUGAAAGCAAAUGGUUUGAUUUUCUGUUGCAAAGAAAUUUAUAGUGGAAUUCGACUUCGUAUUGAUGCUUUGAACUGUGAUUUUGGAGGUUAGUGUGUCUGUGCUUAAAGGAAGCAACUUCUUUGCUGUUUGAGUGAAUUAGAAUUUGGGUAAGUUGCUAUGUGUAAUCAUAGUGCAUUAUGUUUUCACUAUUGAACUACAUACUACAAAUUGAAUUUAAAUGUAUAUUUGGACUGUUUUUUAACAGUUAAAUUCUGUGAAAUUCUAGGAUAAGAUCAGUUCUAAAUUCUUCUAUAUCAUGAAUGUAUGUAGAGAUUGUUCCCUACCCAUUCCACUUCAAUUUUCACCUUUUUCUGCUAUUGUUUUAUUAACUUUUGUGUAGUUCAGUUUUGUUUGAAUCAAUUUUAUGCAUCUCUGAUUAUUGGAAACGUUGAAAUUCAAAAAGUAUAAACCAUGUGUUUCACAAUUGCAGCAACCAAAAGAAUCAUUAGUUUUCUUCCUAACCAAAUUUUAACUGAAAUGGAACAGUUUAACCAGUGAUUAAUAUUGUUUCAAAAUUAUUGGUCUGUGUUUACGGUAUUGUAAUUAAGAAUUAGGUGAGAGCCAGUGAACCCAGCCAUGCUAAUAUUUCCACUUUCUUUCGUCUCUGUCUCUUUUUAACUCAAUGAAUUUGUGUUUUGGUGUGUGGAGCUAUUAAUUCCUUCAUUGCUAAACUGAUGGCUUAUGAUCUGAUCGUUUACAUAUUAUUAGCCCAUGUGUUUAUCUUGCAAAGUUGGAAAAAUGUGUUUACGUCAAUACUCAGGUCAUUAGAUUUUAUGAUUAUGCAUCCUUUGGUAAAGUAAAAGAAAUGUCAACAAUUAAUGUCACGAGGACCUUUUUUAACUUCUGUUUGAGAACAUGGGUACAUUUGUACAAGUAUUCAUUUAUGCUCAUAUUGAUUUAUAUCAGUUUCACGGACAUGAGCUUCUGCAAACUUAGAUUCUCUAUAAUUGACGGUUCAUACAUAACACUUGAUACUUGAUACUUAAUACUUGAUUAUCUAUAUGCCAAGACAUUCAUGUAGGGUUCCAAUAUUUUAUAUAUAACUAGGAUGAGAAGGAUGAACAAUUAUAUACCCAAUUUCCUGCAACAAACUUUGAGGGCUAAAACUGAUGAAACUAAAGAACGGCACUAAGCAAGUCUUCAAUGUUAAAGGAAUCUUUCCGGAUACAUGGCGAUUCGCUCCCAGACAAGAAGACCAACCUUCAAGCUCCACAGCAAGCCAGGUCUCACCCACAAAAAAGAGACAUUCGGACACAUAUAGCAGGCCACUCUUCAAAUCGCCAUCACCAUUACCAUCAAACAAAUUUCCAAAAAGUGCCAACAACUCAGUUGAGACUUCCAAGCAACUGUCAGCUUUUGCAAACGAUGAAUCUAACAUUUUAUAAUCAGCUGAUAGUUCGUCUUAACAGCAAUCAUAUUGCCAACUCUGACCAUUUUUUGUAAGAUAUACCUAUUUUUAGCGCAUUGAAGAAGUAGAUCGGAGAUUGAGCCAGAAAAAACCAUUACCGUGUCUGAGAUGCUUACAGAGAUAGCGUAGUGUAGAGAAUACCUGGGAUGAUCAGUCCACUCCCAUUCAAUAACUUCAAAGGACAUCAUCAACUAUUUUUUGCAAACUACCACAACAUCUGUACCGGUGGUGAUGUUACUAGGACAUGAUCUACUUCAACUUUUGUUAUAAAACAAGACUCAAUCUUUUGUUAAUAUAAUGAUCAUAUCAACUAUAUUUUUUAUGCUUUUAAAUUUAGUCCUUAAAUAACAUUUUGUUAGUUCCAAAACCCGCGGCAAAGCGCGGGCACAA